rnacentral:misc_RNA from 1 species
GAUGAAGAACGUAGCGAAAUGGGAUAAGUAAUGUGAAUUGCAGAAUUCAGUGAAUCAUCGAAUCUUUGAACGCACAUUGCGCCCCCUGGUAUUCCGGGGGGCAUGCCUGUCCGAGCGUCAUUACAACCCUCAAGCUCAGCUUGGUGUUGGGCCCCGCCGCCCCGGCGGGCCCUAAAGUCAGUGGCGGUGCCGUCCGGCUCCGAGCGUAGUAAUUCUUCUCGCUCUGGAGGUCCGGUCGUGUGCUCGCCAGCAACCCCCAAUUUUUUUCAGGUUGACCUCGGAUCAGGUAGGGAUACCCGCUGAACUUAAGCAUAUCAAUAAGCGGAGGA